rnacentral:rRNA from 1 species
AUUGAACGCUAGCGGCAGGCUUAACACAUGCAAGUCGAGCGAGCGGCGGACGGGUGAGUAAUGUCUGGGAAAAUGCCUGAUGGAGGGGGAUCACUACUGGAAACGGUAGCUAAUACCGCAUACCAUCAGUAGUGCCCAGAGGGGAUUAGCUUGAUGGUGGGGUCAUGGCUCACCUAGGCGACUCUCCCUAGCUGGUCUGAGAGGAUGACAAGCCACACGGGAACGGAGCAACGGUCCCGGCUCUUACGGGAGGCAGCAGUGGGGAAUAGUGAACAAUGGGCGCAAGCCUGAUGCAGCCAUGCCGCGUGUGUGAAGAAUGCCUUCGGGUUGUAAAGCACUUUCAGCGAGGAGGCGUUACUCGCAGAAGAAGCACCGGCUAACUCCGUGCCAGCAGCCGCGGUAAUUC